ensembl:lncRNA
CUCAGCUCCUUCAGCUUUGUUGUGGCAGGGAAAGUGUAAAAAUACAGUCUGAUAAAUGCUGUUUCUUUGAACGAAUAUUUUGCCAUUAGACUCAGAACCCUGACCAGACACACGUGCUAUCAAUUCUAGUGUUUUUCCUUUCGGAGAACUUAAAGAUCAGCAUCGUCAACGAUGCAUAGCGUACCAGGGUCCAUACCAUGAGCUGCAAGGGGCGGCUGGUUUAUCGUACGCAGUUCACGUCAAACCCUCGGUUCAGCAUCCCUCCACAGGAACACUACACCCUGAUCGUCGAUUUCGCUUUUGGGGGACGUAUGCAGACAAGCCCCCUGACCCCCACGGCUGCCCUCGACCGCCUCGCCCCAUCCGACCCUCCCCCUCCCUCCCUCCCUCCCUCCCUC